AUUCAUUUUCAUUCAAAGAGAUGGGGGCUCUUUACGACUACAGUCCUUCGACCUCUGGGUCUGAUCGAUCCAUCCUGCAAUGAGGCCAUGGAUAUCUUUUGAGUUUUGACGCAUAGUCAAUGUGCGUCACUGUCUAACGUCAAUGGAUUCAAUCUAAACUCCAGUAUAGGACUUUUAUGCAUAUUUGGUUGAAACCGAAUCUUGAUUGAGUGAUUGUCUUUCAAGUGCAGUAGCAAAAUAAGGAUGAAUGACGAAAUAAUUGAAAAAUUCCAUUAUUUCCUUGCACAUUCUUUGAUGCAACCCAAAAAACUUUCAAGGACCUUUCUGUCAGACUCUCUGGCCUGAUUGAAAUCUUUUUCUUCUUUGCUUUAUCCGUUGUUCAUCGGUGCAUUAACAAACAACAUACUGCACUUGUUCCAUUUCUGUUCCACCACUCUGCAUAAUGAAAACAGCGUGCACUAUAUUAGGCUUCGUGUGGUUUUCUUUUUUUGUUGGCCAGACAGUCAGCACAGUAUAUAAACUUUUGUGCCAUAGCAUUAUAUUGAGCAAUCCCGUGGAUCAGGCAGGACGUUAUUAAAACUGACUUGCUGGUGCGGUGCUGUAGAGUGUGUGCGUAUAUUUUUCCGUCACGAAAUCAGAUAUCCCCUUCACCUCAUGUUUCUCCUAUCCAACUUUCUUGAGGAAGAAAUCCCCUUUUUUGUUACUUAUUUAUAUAAUACCAUUAUAUGACUUCCCAAGGCUGUGAUGCUUGUCACGAAAGCAAUACGCUGUUCAUUUUUCCAAGCGCGCAAUAGCUCAUGGACACGAGCUUUUUUUUGUGUUACUACACGGUGUGUUACAGUACCACAAUAUAUUCAUUUUGUCUUGCGUCAGCCACUCCCUCGUUUUAUCUUCAAUUUCCUAAUUUUGUGGACAUUGAAUACGCUAUCCCCCCUCGGACAUCUUUAACGUGAAUUUCUCCUUCUCCAUUGGUUUUACUGAUAAUAGCCCAUGUCCUAUUGUCCUUGUGGUUUGUGUCACAUUUCGCCGUAUCGGGGAUGGUGCGGCAUACGAUAUCUAUUGUCGGAAAUGUUAUUGGGAACCUUUGUCCGGAGACUCAGGCGGACGUGGAUUGCUUUUUUUACGUAAUUAAUUUUCGGAAUCCCUUGAGAAAAAUAGGGACGUACUUCUUCUCCGUCUUAUUUACAGUUUGCUACUACACUUAAUCUUGAUCUUCCUCAUUUCCACGGAAUUCGUCUGGCAAUCAGUAAAUUAUUCUUGGAAGUAAAUUGAUGAAAUCGUUCCGCAAAUAUUUUCUUUGUUUCUGAAUAAAUUUGAAUUAGUAAGAAGGGAUUGGCCAACAUGCCAUCUUGUGAGUGCGUCUGCCAUUGGACACCACUAGCGCCGUUGCGCUAAGGUUGUUUACAAAAACAAAGGCCCGAAAAAUCAUUCAAGGCACUGGGCUGUCGUGUCCCACUGUCUCUUGAGAAAUAACAAUUGAAUAUUUUGUCAUUAAUGAUUGAAACCGCGAAAAUAAAUGCCCCCGGCUGUAAGUCGAUCAAGGAAUUUUAAUGAGUAGGUCAGCACAAAGAACAGUUAGUAGUGCGUAAAGAAGCAUUACAUUUCCAGAUUCAAGACCCUUCCAUUCAUCGUCCACAUUUAAAUCAAGUUAAAUUUGACUCAUGGCUGAAAAUACGAAUUCCAGACGCAAGCCUCCUUUUCCUUAUUCAAGGCUAUCACUUUCUCAAAAUAGGAAAACAAAAACUGACUCUGUUGUAGCUUCCAAGGGAAAGAAAAAGUUGAAUGAACCAUUAAGCAAUCAUAGCUCUCGUCAAGUGUCCAAGAAACAGAAUACUGAAACUACAACUACUGUUACCCAAAACACAAGACUAAAAGAUUCAUGCGCUAAGAUUGUUCCAAAAUUCAAAUGUGAAAGUGAAUUAGAAAGAACUAUAAGGUUAAGAAUGGAAAAAUUAAAAGAAUCCCAGAAAAAACUUACGAAGUCAAAAAACGCAUUACCUGAAUCUUCUCCAAGACAAAAAUCUACUAGCCAGCAAACUUUAAAAGCAACCAGCAAUACUAGCUCCUCACAAACAAAGUUAAAAGUUAAAAUUCCUUUUCCUGAGAAGAAAAUUAAGGUGAAUAGUCCUCAUGUCAACAGUUCAAUGCCACAGAAACAAAAAACUCUUAUGAUUUGGAAAUUUAAAGAUGGGACCACUGUGAAAAAAUUUUGUUAGUUCUUCCUUUCAUUAUUUAUUGAAUGGUGGACAAACAGCAUGUCUUAUUAUUAUUUUUUUUUUCAGCACUAUUCUCUCACAAGUAUUAUUAUUUUUUUUUUGUAUUUUGAUACCUGCCACUGAUGUUUCUGUUUGUAAUGCCAUUUUUCUGGCUUUUAAAAGCAUAGAAAUCAUUUCUAUGAGUUAUGUCUGCUCUGCUUAAGUGCUUAUGCAUUUGCAAUUUAAUGCAUGUGCCCAUCAAACCAAUCAAUGAUAACUCAGUUAUUUGGUAUAAAAUACAGCAUUUUGAUUUAAA